rnacentral:rRNA from 1 species
UACAGAGGUCCCGAGCGUUGUUCGGAUUUAUUGGGCGUAAAGGGUGCGUAGGUGGCAAGUAAGUUGGAUGUGAAAUCCUGGGGACUUAACCUCAGAAUUGCAUUCAAUACUGCUUAGCUAGAGAGCUGUAGAGGAGACUGAAUUUACGGUGUAGCAGUGAAAUGCGUAGAUAUCAAGAGGAACACCAGUGGCGAAGGCGAUGUCCCUGGACAACACCUGACACUGAGGCACGAAAGCUAGGGGAGCAAACAGGA